rnacentral:snRNA from 1 species
UUUGCAGGAUAUAGCAUUGG